rnacentral:lncRNA from 1 species
GGUUCCUUAAUUUGUUUAAGCUUCAGGUGUCACGAGCCUGGAUCAGCCUUGGUCAUCCAUUCUGUGUUCCGUGUUAUACAUCACUGGAGCUGGCAGACUUGGUCCUUGCACAUGAGGGUUUUACAGUCUUGCUAAAAUAGUCAUCUUCCAUCUCUGAGGACUGUUCUGGUGAAAUGGAGUCUCCUCCUUGCUACAGUGCAGAACAGACCCAACAGAGCUAGAGUUCUGCUUCUGGCUAAAGAUUACAUGCUUCAUGGAACAACUCAGGACUCUUGUGAUGUAGGGCCAGACUUCAGGAUGGAGAUUAAAGGAACUGGAAAUGCUGACGUUUGGGGG